GCAGCCUUAGCACUCACCGCCGUUUCUCCUCGUCGAAGCUGAGGACGAGCCGCGGCCGUCGGUUGUCGCCAUCUCGCUUCUUCUUCUUGUUGCGGCCCAUAACUGUGAGGCCUGGGCGAUGCUGUUCCCCUCUCCUAAGAGAGAGGGGAAGGGAAGGAGAAAGAGGGAGAGAAACAUCAGUCAGCGAUGCGGGCAUGUGCCCCGACCGGGAAUCAAACUGCGACCUUUUGCUUUGAGUAAUGACAUCCACCCAGCGGAGCCACACCGGUCCGGGCUCACACACUCUUGCUUGAUACACGUUUUUGUUUCAGAAACUACAGAUAAGGCCCAUCCCGGUGCCUGAGAAAAAGCAGCUGACCUCCUGGGGUAUUAGCUAGAGAUUACCGACUGGAGACAUCCCUGCCUGGAGACAUCCCUACCGGGAAGAAGCAGGCGACUACCCCUCCCCCUUGGAAUUUCAAGGCUUUCGCUGACCCGU